rnacentral:rRNA from 1 species
UACGGAAGGGGCAAGCGUUGUUCGGAAUCAUUGGGCGUAAAGGGCGCGUAGGUGGUUCUGUAUGUCUACCGUGAAAGCGUACGGCUCAACCGUAUUUUGUCGGUAGAAACUGCAGGACUUGAGGCUGGGAGGGGCUGGUGGAAUUCCCGGUGUAGCGGUGAAAUGCGUAGAUAUCGGAAGGAACACCAGUGGCGAAAGCGGCUUCCUGGUCCAGCACCGACGUUCAGGCACGAAAGCGUGGGGAGCAAACAGG